AUUGAACGCUGGCGGCAGGCCUAACACAUGCAAGUCGAGCGAGGGGCGGACGGGUGGGUAAUGUAUGGGGAUCCGCCCGAUGGAGGGGGAUAACUACUGGAAACGGUGGCUAAUACCGCAUACUAUCGGCUGAACCCAUAUGGGAUUAGCUAGUUGGUGGGGUAAAGGCUCACCUAGGCGACGAUCUCUAGCUGGUCUGAGAGGAUGAUCAGCCACACUGGGACUGAGACACGGCCCAGACUCCUACGGGAGGCAGCAGUGGGGAAUAUUGCACAAUGGGCGCAAGCCUGAUGCAGCCAUGCCGCUUGUAUGAAGAAGGCCUUAGGGUUGUAAAGUACUUUCAGCGGGGAGGCGUUACCCGCAGAAGAAGCACCGGCUAACUCCGUGCCAGCAGCCGCGGUAAUAC
rnacentral:rRNA from 1 species